GGGUAGCAAUACCGCUGACGACCGGCGCACGGGUGAGUAACACGUAUCCAACCUUCCCAUAACUCAGGGAUAGCCUUUCGAAAGAAAGAUUAAUACCUGAUAGUACUUUUUCAAGGCAUCUUGAGAAAGUUAAAGAUUUAUUGGUUAUGGAUGGGGAUGCGUUCCAUUAGAUAGUUGGUGAGGUAACGGCUCACCAAGUCUUCGAUGGAUAGGGGUUCUGAGAGGAAGGUCCCCCACAUUGGUACUGAGACACGGACCAAACUCCUACGGGAGGCAGCAGUGAGGAAUAUUGGUCAAUGGGCGAGAGCCUGAACCAGCCAGGUAGCGUGAAGGAAUGAAGGUCCUAUGGAUUGUAAACUUCUUUUAUAGUAGAAUAAAGUGAUCCACGUGUGGAUUUUUGUAUGUAUACUAUGAAUAAGGAUCGGCUAACUCCGUGCCAGCCGCCGC
rnacentral:rRNA from 1 species